rnacentral:rRNA from 1 species
CAUGCCGUAAACGUUGGGCGCUAGGUGUGGGGACCUUCCACGGUCUCCGUGCCGCAGCUAACGCAUUAAGCGCCCCGCCUGGGGAGUACGGCCGCAAGGCUAAAACUCAAAGGAAUUGAC